rnacentral:lncRNA from 1 species
UUCACGCAGCGGCGAAGAGGCGAAGACCCCUAGGUUGGCAGCCUCUUGCUUUCUCUCUGUUGUGUCCUCCCCUUGCUUUUUGUCAUUUGUGGCCGCCUCUUGCUUAAUCUCUGUUGUGGCCGCGACUACGCCCGAAGAGGCGAAGACCCUCCUUGGCAGCGGCGCACACAGGGAUCUUCCAACGUCGCCAUUCGCACACUCCCGGCAGUGGCUUUCGG